rnacentral:rRNA from 1 species
GACGAACGCUGGCGGCGUGCUUAACACAUGCAAGUCGUACGGUAAGGCCCUUUCGGGGGUACCCGGUUGGCAAACGGGUGGGUAACCCGGAGUUAACCUGCCCCCACCUUUGGGAAAACGCUAGGAAACUGUUGCUAAUCCUGGAUAUGUCUUCCUCCUGAAUGGUGGGGGUUGGAAACCCCCGGCGGUUGUGGAUGGACUCGCGGCCUAUCAGCUUGUUGGUGGGGUAGUGGCCUACCAAGGCGGCGACGGGUAGCCGGCCUGAGAGGGUGACCGGCCACAUUGGGACUGAGAUACGGCCCAGACUCCUACGGGAGGCAGCAGUGGGGAAUAUUGCACAAUGGGCGCAAGCCUGAUGCAGCAACGCCGCGUGCGGGAUGACGGCCUUCGGGUUGUAAACCGCUUUCAGCAGGGACGAAGCUUUUUGUGACGGUACCUGCAGAAGAAGCACCGGCUAACUACGUG